rnacentral:rRNA from 1 species
GACAGAGGGUGCGAACGUUGUUCGGAAUUACUGGGCGUAAAGCGCGUGUAGGCGGCAGCGCAAGUCGGGCGUGAAAUCCCACGGCUCAACCGUGGAAGUGCACUCGAAACUGCGCAGCUAGAGUCCUGGAGAGGAAGGUGGAAUGCUUGGUGUAGAGGUGAAAUUCGUAGAUAUCAAGCGGAACACCGGUGGCGAAGGCGGCCUUCUGGACAGUGACUGACGCUGAGAUGCGAAAGCGUGGGGAGCAAACAGG